UGCAAGUCGAACGGCAGCACGGGAGCUUGCUCCUGGUGGCGAGUGGCGAACGGGUGAGUAAUGCGUCGGAACGUACCGAGUAAUGGGGGAUAACGCAGCGAAAGCUGUGCUAAUACCGCAUACGCCCUGAGGGGGAAAGUGGGGGAUCGCAAGACCUCACGUUAUUCGAGCGGCCGACGUCUGAUUAGCUAGUUGGUGGGGUAAUGGCCUACCAAGGCGACGAUCAGUAGCGGGUCUGAGAGGAUGAUCCGCCACACUGGAACUGAGACACGGUCCAGACUCCUACGGGAGGCAGCAGUGGGGAAUUUUGGACAAUGGGGGCAACCCUGAUCCAGCCAUUCCGCGUGAGUGAAGAAGGCCUUCGGGUUGUAAAGCUCUUUCAGCUGGAACGAAACGGUACGCUCUAACAUAGCGUGCUAAUGACGGUACCGGCAGAAGAAGCACCGGCUAACUACGUGCCAGCAGCCGCGGUAAUACGUAGGGUGCGAGCGUUAAUCGGAAUUACUGGGCGUAAAGCGUGCGCAGGCGGAUUGUUAAGCAAGAUGUGAAAUCCCCGGGCUUAACCUGGGAAUGGCAUUUUGAACUGGCAGUCUAGAGUGCGUCAGAGGGGGGUGGAAUCCCACGUGUAGCAGUGAAAUGCGUAGAGGUGUGGAGGAACACCAAUGGCGAACGCAGCCCCCUGGGAUGACACUGACGCUCAUGUACGAAAGCGUGGGUAGCAACAGGAUUAGAUACCCUGGUAGUCCACGCCCUAACGAUGUCACUGGUUGUUGGGGGAGUGAAAUCCCUUAGUACGAAGCUAACGCGUGAAGUUGACCGCCUGGGGAGUACGGUCGCAGAUUAAACUCAAGGAAUGACGGGACCGCACAGCGGUGGAUGAUGUGAUUAUUCGAUGCACGCGAAACUUACUACCUUG
rnacentral:rRNA from 1 species